CUAGAGGUCCACAGUGCUCAGCAUGCCGACUGGACUCUCAUCGGGAGGAGGAUGAGAAUCCAAACCAAAACAUAACUUUUAGCAAAUGCCAGGUGCUACUCUAAGCCUGAGGAACAAAACUGAGUCCCCACUCUCGGCGAACAUACAAGUCAGUCCAAGGCAGAGAAUAUGAGGAACAUGAAGAAUAUGACAUACACUAUGAACAUGAACUUGCGGAGCAGGACUGGAGCCCCGCUUACAGACGAGGAAGCUGCAUUGCCAAGUCACCCCUCUGGGGACAAGACAUGCAGACCUCCAACCCGAAGCCAGAGCUUGGCACUGUCUGGGUACUUUAGGAGUUUACAGCGUCACAGAGAGGCCAC
rnacentral:lncRNA from 1 species